rnacentral:rRNA from 1 species
UACGGAGGGUGCGAGCGUUUGUCCGGAAUCACUGGGCGUAAAGGGCGCGUAGGCGGCUUGGGAAGUCUGUGGUGAAAGCUCGUGGCUCAACUGCGAGUCGGCCAUAGAUACUCCUAAGCUCGAGUCGACUAGAGGCAGAUGGAAUUCCGAGUGUAGAGGUGAAAUUCGUAGAUAUUCGGAGGAACACCAGUGGCGAAGGCGGCUCACUGGUCCAUUACUGACGCUUGAGGUGCGAAAGCGUGGGGAGCAAACAGG